AUUGAACGCUGGCGGCAGGCCUAACACAUGCAAGUCGAGCGGAGCGGCGGACGGGGGCGUAUUGCCUAGGAAUCUGCCUGGUAGUGGUGGAUAACGUUCGCAAACGGGCGCUAAUACCGCAUACUAUCAGAUGAGCCUAGGUCGGAUUAGCUAGUUGGUGGGGUAAAGGCCUACCAAGGCGACGAUCCGUAACUGGUUGGAGAGGAUGAUCAGUCACACUGGAACUGAGACACGGUCCAGACUCCUACGGGAGGCAGCAGUGGGGAAUAUUGGACAAUGGGCGAAAGCCUGAUCCAGCCAUGCCGCGUGUGUGAAGAAGGGCGUCGGAUUGUAAAGCACUUUAAGUGGGGAGGCGUUACCCACAGAAUAAGCACCGGCUAACUCCGUGCCAGCAGCCGCGGUAAUUC
rnacentral:rRNA from 1 species